rnacentral:rRNA from 1 species
AUACAGAGGUGGCAAGCGUUGUUCGGAAUUACUGGGCGUAAAGGGCGCGUAGGCGGCCUUCUUAGUCAGACGUGAAAUCCCCGGGCUUAACUCGGGAACUGCGUCUGAUACUGGAAGGCUGGAGUUCGGGAGAGGAAUGUGGAAUUCCAGGUGUAGCGGUGAAAUGCGUAGAUAUCUGGAGGAACACCGGUGGCGAAGGCGGCAUUCUGGACCGAAACUGACGCUGAGGCGCGAAAGCCAGGGGAGCAAACGGGA